rnacentral:rRNA from 16 species
AUGCAAGUCGAACGGAAAGGCCCUGCUUUUGUGGGGUGCUCGAGUGGCGAACGGGUGAGUAACACGUGAGUAACCUGCCCUUGACUUUGGGAUAACUUCAGGAAACUGGGGCUAAUACCGGAUAGGAGCUCCUGCUGCAUGGUGGGGGUUGGAAAGUUUCGGCGGUUGGGGAUGGACUCGCGGCUUAUCAGCUUGUUGGUGGGGUAGUGGCUUACCAAGGCUUUGACGGGUAGCCGGCCUGAGAGGGUGACCGGCCACAU